rnacentral:rRNA from 1 species
CCUACGGGAGGCAGCAGUGGGGAAUUUUGGACAAUGGGGGCAACCCUGAUCCAGCCAUGGCCGCGUGAGUGAUGAAGGUCUUAGGAUUGUAAAGCUCUUUCACCGGGGAAGAUAAUGACGGUAUCCGGAGAAGAAGCCCCGGCUAACUUCGUGCCAGCAGCCGCGGUAAU